rnacentral:rRNA from 1 species
CCUACGGGGGGCAGCAGUGAGGAAUAUUGGUCAAUGGCCGGAAGGCUGAACCAGCCAUGCCGCGUGAAGGUCAGUGCCCUAUGGGCGUUAAACUUCUUUUGUGCGGGAGCAAUACUGGUCACGUGUGGCCAGACGAGAGUACCGUACGAAUAAGCAUCGGCUAACUCCGUGCCAGCAGCCGCGGUAAUACGGGGGAUGCAAGCGUUAUCCGGAUUUAUUGGGUUUAAAGGGUGCGUAGGCUGUGAGGUAAGUCAGCGGUGAAAUGCCCGCGCUCAACGGGGUGAAGUGCCAUUGAUACUGCCUGGCUGGAAUGCGGAUGCCGUGGGAGGAAUGUGUGGUGUAGCGGUGAAAUGCAUAGAUAUCACACAGAACACCGAUUGCGAAGGCAUCUCACGAAGCCGCGAUUGACGCUGAUGCACGAAAGCGUGGGUAUCAAACAGGAUUAGAUACCCCUGUAGUC